rnacentral:lncRNA from 1 species
AAAGUGUUUUUUUUUUUUACUCGGGACAAGUUUUUUGAUGUUCAAUAUCGAAUAUACAUGAUAUAGGACAAAUGAAUUUUCAAUGUUUAAAAAAAAAAUGCCGAAAAAUUCAUAUUCGACCAACAAAUACAACAGCCGAGGAAGAUUCAAGUUACAUUUUCUAAAUCAAUCAGAAUCUUUCCGUAAAUUUGUUUCAACGAAGUUUUAUCUCGAAGUAGGACACACCGUUAUUAGAACAUAUGAGUCUGUAGGGUGUUAGACAAUGUGUUAUUUGUUCUUGAUUAACAACAAAAACAUUCAUCAUAUUAGGAUAUGAACACACGAAUACACUUAAAACAUGUCAUAUAGUUUAAUAUACAUAUAACUUUCAAAUGGUUUUAUCUGUUGUUUGUUGUCAAGAGGCAAAUAUAUCAUGCAUAUUCAGUGUGAAAAAUGGACAGUAUAUAUUGAAUGUAUAUGUAAGUCUUCCAG